rnacentral:rRNA from 1 species
GCCGGUCUGCCGAUGGGUACGCACUGGCGGGCGCGUCCUUCCUUCCGGAGACUGGCCCUACUCUUAGCUGAGCGGGGUCGGGAGUCGGAUCGUUUACUUUGAAAAAAUCAGAGUGUUUCAAGCAGGCAGCUCGCUCUUGCAUGGAUUAGCAUGGGAUAAUGAAAUAGGACUUUGGUGCUAUUUUGUUGGUUUCGAACACCGAAGUAAUGAUUAACAGGGACAGUCAGGGGCACUCGUAUUCCGCCGAGAGAGGUGAAAUUCUCAGACCAGCGGAAGACGAACCACUGCGAAAGCAUUUGCCAGGGAUGUUUUCACUGAUCAAGAACGAAAGUUAGGGGAUCGAAGACGAUCAGAUACCGUCGUAGUCUUAACCAUAAACCAUGCCGACUAGGGAUCGGCGGAAGUCCUUUUUUGACUCCGUCGGCACCUUGAGGGAAACUAUAGUCUUUGGGUUCCGGGGGGAGUAUGGUCGCAAGGCUGAAACUUAAAGGAAUUGACGGAAGGGCACCACCAGGAGUGGAGCCUGCGGCUUAAUUUGACUCAACACGGGGAAACUUACCAGGUCCAGACAUUGUGAGGAUUGACAGAUUGAGAGCUCUUUCUUGAUUCGAUGGG